UAGGAACUUUGCUUUUUUUAUCAAAAAAGCGCCAUCUAUCCGAAGGAUAUCGAAGUAAAAUGUAAAGUGUUGCUAUAUAAGAAUUAUAGUGAAGCUGCAUUAUUAUGGUAAAAAGUAAAAAUAUUAAUUAAACAGUAAAAAGAUACGAUAUAUUAGUUAAAUGGUCUGAAAAUUAUUUUAAAUCAUUAAUCUCUUUAAUUUUAAUGAGGUUUUUCUGUAAUUCUUUACUUUUCAUAAAUUUAUGUUUUAAAGGUAAUAUUUUCGAAGUUUCAUAUGGCAAUUUAAGACAAUGGCGGUCGGCGUCUCAUCGUUUGUUAAAUUUACUACUCUUGCGCACUGAUUUUGUGAUUUUGAGUUCGAUUUCUUAAUUUGGUUGUUUCGUACUGUGCUAUUCACGUUGAGUUGAACUUAUUGUUCCUCCGUGUUGCUUUGCUGCGCUAUAAUCUUUGUGUCGAGUUGAGUAUCCUCCUCGGCAUCUAGGAAUCGAAGACCUUGUGAAACAGUGCAGUGAAUCACUAAGCAUAGGCGCUCAUAAGAGUUUGGACCGAUUAUUGCAGUGAUUAGUUCUUUAUUUCACCGAGCAUAGGCCCUCUUAGGAGUUUGGACCCAUAAUUGCAGUGUUUAGUUUUGUGAAUGUGCAUUAAAUAAACUGGAAUCAUGUCUCAGAAGACAUGCUGUGUACCUGACUGUUUAGUAACGAAGGGUGAUGGUGUUCCACUGCAUCGCUUUCCUGACCCGGAAAAAAAUGCAGAAAAGUUUAACACCUGGAUUGCAAAUAUUGGUGGCGAUCUAGCUACAUUGGAUGCAACAACAAUUUAUAAUAAUAGACGUGUAUGUCGUAAUCAUUUCGAGGACGUUUAUAAAUAUCCUAAGAACCGACUCAGUCAAUUGGCAAUGCCAGUACUGCAUUUACCAGGUGUGCAAGCACAAAGGCUUAAAGAAAUUGAUCAUAUUUCUGGAAAAUUUGAUUUGCCAAAUUUUGGUGAUUCUCCAAUGAAUACAGAGCUGUCUGUUAACCCUGUAAUAGAAGAGGACCAACCACAAUCUCUUGUCGGAGUUAAUGUCACUGGAGAAGCUCCUCUCAAACAGACUCUUGGUGACACACAAGACAAUGUAGAGCAGUCCAGAGAAGCUCAAAAUGUUAACAAAACUAACAAGAAGGCAAAAAAUAAAACCAAAAAAUCCAAAGGGCCUCGCCUAUCAUUCCUGCAAAUGAAGCAAUAUAAGCGUGCUUUGAAGCAGUUACAGAGAUGUGAAGAUGAGAAAAAGAAGUUGAAAUGCAAAUACGUAGCUGCCAAAAAACUCAUGAAAACGACAGCAUUUCAAAUAAUGUGCAAGAAUUUGUCACCGUCAGCAAAACUAUUUUGCCAAAUGCAAGUUACCCAAAGCGGGAAAAAAAAGCAAGGAAGGCGUUUUACAAUUGACGAAAAAAUUUUGGCAUUAUCUCUUUAUAAACCUUCGCCAAAGGCAUAUCGACUAUUAGGCACGAAGUGUAUUAUGCCGAGCAGAAAAACGCUGCAAAAUUUACUGCGCAAAAUUAAUUUGAGACCUGGAAUUAAUGAAAUUAUUUUUGAAAAUUUAAAAAACAGGGUUUCUAAGAUGCCUGAAAACCAUAAAUAUUGCUCUCUGUUGUUUGACGAAAUGGCGAUUGGACCAGGUGUUUCCUUUAACAAAACAGAAGACAAAUUAUCUGGAUUUGUUGACAAUGGCACAAGCACUGAAAAAGAUUUUUGCGACCAUGUGCUAGUUUUUAUGGUGCGAGGUAUAUUUAAAAAAUAUAAACAGCACUUGGCCUACUAUUUUUGCAGUGGAAGCACGAAAACGUUAGUAUUAAAAGAGCAAAUUGAAAAAUUAAUAAUUAAACUCCAAGAGACUGGCUUAAAAGUCGUGGCCACAGUGUGUGACCAAGGCACUUCAAAUGUGGCAGCCAUCAAUGCCCUAAUUAAACAAACUAAAGAAAGUUAUUUGAGAAAAAAUGAAAUUAAUUUAGAGGGGACAUUUGAAAUUGGAAAUGCUCAAAUUUUUCCCAUAUAUGACCCACCACACUUAAUCAAGGGUAUUAGGAACAAUUUAAUAACAAAAAACCUAAAAUACUCUUUGCAUGGGAAAGAACGCACUGCGAAAUGGAGCCAUAUUGUGGCAUUAUAUAAUAAGUCACCUGCAUAUCAAGGCGUAAAAUUAGUACCAAAAUUAACGGCUCAACAUGUUAUGCCCGACUUGAUACCUAAAAUGCGGGUGAAGAAUUGCACUCAGGUCUUCAGUAAAUCUGUUGGAGCAGCACUUGGAUUUAUGGCAGAACUUGGAGCUAUUGAAAAAGAAGCGACGGAUACUGCUGACCUUUUGAUGCUUUUCGACGACAUUUUUGACAGCGUGAAUGGGAGUUACAGCAAUAUAAAAGGCGGCAAAAUUUAUAGAGCAGCUGUAACUCCCACAUCACCACACCACAAGUUGUGGAACGAAAGUUUAAAAGUUUUAAAAAGUAUGAAAUUCGAAAAUGCUCAAAAUAAAGGUGUAGUGCCUUCUCUAUCCAGCUGGAUAAAAACGAUAGAGAACUUUAAAAACUUAGCAAAAUUUCUGCAAACAAAAGGAAUAACGUCUCUAUUGCUGCGAAACAUAAACCAAGAUCCAUUAGAGAAUUUCUUUGGCUCAGUACGUGCACAUGGUUGCAGUAAUAUUAUGCCAACGGCCUCUGCAUUUGAGAGUGCCUUCAAAACUUUGUUAAUCAAUAAUAUUUCGUCUACACACUCAGUUGGCGCAAAUUGUGAAAAAGAUGACAGUUUUUGUCUCACCACGUUAAAAAAAUAUUUGUCAAUUGAAAAAAAAGACAAUGGCCCAACUGACUGUGAAAACGAAAUUGACAGUGCCCACAUAUGUAUGACACUCUUAAAUACAGAGGAUUUAUUAAAAAGCACACUGCCAAUACACAUGGUAAAGAGCGCAGCAAUAGGAUAUUGCAGUGGUUGGAUAGCACAACAAGCAAAGAAAAAUAUUUUUAAAAAUUGUAAAAUUUGCCUCAAAGCCUUAGAAACAGAGGUUCCAGAAAGUUUUCAUAAAUUUAUAAAAAUUAAAGAAUUUGAAAACAAACAAUGGCUGUGCUAUCCAACUCGUGCACUUUUUGAUUUUUUCGCUCAAGUGGAACAGGUUUGCCAUGAAAUUUUAAACACAGAUUGUAAUCGAAAAAAUAUACUCACAUAUUUAAGACUAAUCGUAAAUGUAAAUAUAAAUCUUGUAUUUAUAACUUGUUCACAACACGAAGAAAACCUAAAAAAAUUUUUGAUUAAUAAAAGUACAAUGUUUUUCAUAAAUAAUUGGUGCAAGGAGAUAAAUAAUGUCCUCACAGGAAAAACACAUUUGAUGGAUACAAAUAAUUUAAUUAUUAAAAAAGCUCUCCGUCACUACACCAAAAACAAAGGCCGAAAACGUAAUACAAAAACGAAUGUAAUAGUUAGUGUUUAGAAUAUUUUGUAAACAUUAAUCCCCCUUACCACGGUAAUACUAUCUAUACCUUACUAAUAAAAAGUUACACAGUUGUUGAACACUGUUUUAAAAUUACACUAGUUUAGGAGCCAGGGCUUCAAUAUAAAAUGUUACAGUGUAUUACAUCAAUAAAAAUAUUCAUAAUUAAUCUUAUUCUUAUUCUUAAAAUGUCAUUUCCAUACAAAACGUCACACUGUUCAACGAGCGUGUAUGUUUAAUAAGUAAUUUUUGUGUCAUCAGCAUAUAGUAAUAUGUUGGAGUUACUAAAACAUUAUACAUACGUCAUUUGUUGUAUCAUUAUGUUUGUAUUAUCUUUGAAUUAUAAAUAAAAUUAUAAUAUAGAA